UGGGGAAUAUUGCGCAAUGGGCGCAAGCCUGAUGCAGCAACGCCGCGUGAGGGACGACGGCCUUCGGGUUGUAAACCUCUUUUAGUAGGGAAGAAGCGAAAGUGACGGUACCUGCAGAAAAACGCACCGGCUAACUGCGUGCCAGCAGCCGCGGUAAUACGUAGGGUGCGAGCGUUGUCCGGAAUUAUUGGGCGUAAAGAGCUCGUAGGCGGUCUGUCGCGUCUGCUGUGAAAACCCGAGGCUCAACCUCGGGCCUGCAGUGGGUACGGGCAGACUAGAGUGCGGUAGGGGAGAAUGGAAUUCCUGGUGUAGCGGUGGAAUGCGCAGAUAUCAGGAGGAACACCGAUGGCGAAGGCAGUUCUCUGGGCCGUAACUGACGCUGAGGAGCGAAAGCGUGGGGAGCGAACAGGAUUAGAUACCCUGGUAGUCCACGCCGUAAACGUUGGGCGCUAGAUGUGGGGACCAUUCCACGGUUUCCGUGUCGCAGCUAACGCAUUAAGCGCCCCGCCUGGGGAGUACGGCCGCAAGGCUAAA
rnacentral:rRNA from 1 species